CACUAUUUGAAAUAACAUGUUCAUACUGUAUUUUUUUGCAUCCUGUGAAGUAACGUUAGCGUAGAAGGCGGCAUUUUAACCAGCAACGAACACGGAGAACCAUGUCGGAAGAUCGCGGUCAUUGACCAAAAUCACAAAAAUCAGAUGCUGAUCACACUGCUGUUCAAGAUAUCCAAUGAUUUAUAUCUCAGAACCAGGAGGAAAUUUGAAUGGUUUCUUACUUGCUUAAAGGUGCAGUGUGUAAUUUUUAGAAGGAUCUCUUGACAGAAAUGCAAAAUAAUAUACAGAACUAUAUGAGCAGGGGUGUAUAAAGACUUUUCAUAAUGAACCGUUAUGUGUUUAUUGCCUUAGAAUGAGACGUUUUAUCUACAUACACAGAGGGUCCCCUUACAUGGAAGCCGCCAUUUUGUGCAGCCAUGUUUCUACAGAAGUCCUUAACAGACAAACUUUUUUACUAAGUUGUCUCCGACAAUGGCAUGUUUGUCCGGUAGCGGCUACAGUAGCUUCUCUGUGUGUUACAAAAGCAAGAGGUGAGCAGUUGACUGAGCCGUUGGUUGCAAUUCACAACCUCACCACUAGAUGCCACUAAAAUUUACACACUGCACCUUUAAUCCUGUUUCUCCAUCUCUCAUUCUAUCUCUCAUUCUAUCUGUCUGUCUGUCUGUCUGUCUGUCUGUCUGUCUGUCUGUCUGUCUGUCUGUCUGUCUGUCUAUCUAUCUAUCUAUCUAUCUAUCUAUCUAUCUAUUUCUCAUUCUGUCUGUCUGUCUGUCUGUCUGUCUGUCUGUCUCACUCACUCAGUGGUAGUCUUAUGUCAUUAAUAUUGUGUUUAAUUUGUUCUAUGUAGGGAUAUGCCAUUGCAGCUGACCUUGAGAGUUCAAUCUCUAUACCUGCAACUCCUUGUCUGAUACUUCUUGGAGAAACGAGAAGCCGCUUCCAGCGCUGGAUGCUCAGCCUUGAGGGCCAAAUUUGCGAAGGGAUCCAGUCCAUCUUUGUGACAGGGCUUGCGUCUUUUUUUUCUGUUUUCAAAUCUUUAACCAAGAGCAGGCAGCCUGCACGCUUGAAUUCAUCCAGAGACACUUUGAGGGUAUAAACCCAGAAAAAGGGACAAAUGCUGCAAAGGGGGAGCAAGCUCAUGGACUUUCAGUGGGAUUUCAUUUGAAAAUGACCCAAGACUUCGCAAAGGAUCCUCAUUGUGUGCUUUGAGAAAAUGGUUAGUGGUCUAAGCAGUGACACUGUUUUUUAUUUGUUUAUUGUUCUUUAUUGAUGAUGAGUUAAGUAUCGGUUUGAAUGUAUUCAUACAUGUUACAUUUUAGUGGUUUAGGUAACACUAUGUUUUGGGGUCAGAAAUUUUUAUAAUGAACAAUGUAUUUGGGUGUAAAAUGAAUUUGCUACUUUUUAAGCUAUGAACAUGAGAAAAUGAGAUUUGAUUGUGAUUAAUCUGAGCCUAUGUGUAACAUUUUUAUAUGACCAGGAGUCAAGAGUGUAUAUCCUUGGUUUGAGUCUUUUUAUUUGAAUCUUAGCAAUUCUUGGAACAUUAAAAAUCGAGGUUUAGGGCCCUAUCUUGCACUGACACAGUGCAAAGCCAAACGCAAGUGUCUCUGCUAGUUUAAGACAGACGCAGUUGUUAUUUUCCAUCCAGCGACCACUGAUGUCAGCAAUGAACAUGAUAUACAAUAUAUUUCUGUGAUUUGUCUGAUUCAUGUGUGCCUUCAUUUGUAAGUAUUUACCUUUCAGUGUUUGUAUUACAAUAAAAAAGUAAAUUUCAA